AGUCUUACAGCUCAUCAGAAUGUCAUAGUUAGAUUUCACAAGAAUGCUUUUAUGUCUGAAAAAUGUUUAUUUUGAAUUCUCUUACACACUCAACAAUUGGAAGUGAGUAAUUUCCUUGAAAAAGAACAAUGUUACACAGAACAUUUGUAACAUGCGUGUUUGUAUGUACGGUUGUCUUCAAGGAAUGCAGAACACCAC